UACGGGGGGUGCGAGCGUUGUCCGGAAUCACUGGGCGUAAAGGGCGCGUAGGUGGUUUGAUAAGGGUGUGGUGAAAGUCCGGGGCUCAACCCCGGAUCUGCCGUGCCGACUGUCAAACUCGAGGGCUGUAGAGGCAGACGGAAUUCCGGGUGUAGCGGUGGAAUGCGUAGAGAUCCGGAGGAAGACCGGUGGCGAAGGCGGUCUGCUGGGCAGUUUCUGACACUGAUGCGCGAAAGCGUGGGGAGCAAACAGG
rnacentral:rRNA from 1 species